AACGAACGCUGGCGGCAUGCCUAACACAUGCAAGUCGAACGAGACCUUCGGGUCUAGUGGCGCACGGGUGCGUAACGCGUGGGAACCUGCCCUUAGGUUCGGAAUAACUCCCCGAAAGGGGUGCUAAUACCGGAUAAUGUCUUCGGACCAAAGAUUUAUCGCCUUUGGAUGGGCCCGCGUUGGAUUAGCUAGUUGGUAGGGUAAAAGCCUACCAAGGCGACGAUCCAUAGCUGGUCUGAGAGGAUGAUCAGCCACACUGGGACUGAGACACGGCCCAGACUCCUACGGGAAGCAGCAGUGGGGAAUAUUGGACAGUGGGCGAAAGCCUGAUCCAGCAAGGCCGCGUGAGUGAUGAAGGCCUUAGGGUUGUAAAGCUCUUUUACCCGGGAUGAUAAUGACAGUACCGGGAGAAUAAGCUCCGGCUAACUCCGUG
rnacentral:rRNA from 1 species